CUUGCCACUGCCACAAGGAGGAUCUCGGCCCUAGUGUGAACGCACCUUCACAGAGAAAGAGAAAGAACCAGCACGUGGUCUGAGACCGGUAUUUUAUUCUUAACUUUGUAAAUGAGUUCUGAUGGACUUCACAGACUGAGGAGUUUUACUUGUUGAAGAGCUUCAGAUCACAGGACUCAAGACGUCCAAGCACACGUGACCGUUGGAGGAUUUUGGUGAAACAUGAGGAGACCUGCUCAGUGCAGGUGAAGCAAAACCCAGAGGACACAAGAGACGACAACUCUUCAACCAUGAAAUGUAGAGGAGGAAAAGGGAAAGAAAAGACAAGUCAAGACAAAGUCCAGUUGAGAACGGCUGGUUUAUGAUCCAGCCAAGAAAAUAGUGUAAUGCACUGAUUGUAGGACGUGAAAAGGUUGAGCGGGUCUCUUGUUGGGACAAGAAACUUCACAGUGCAAACAAUAAAGGACCAUGAAGUUUCCAUCGGCCAUGUGAAAAGCAUUAACGAUUAAAC